CACGUAGGCACCAAGCGUUGUCCGGAUUUAUUGGGCGUAAAGAGCUCGUAGGCGGUUCAGUAAGUCGGGUGUGAAAACUCUGGGCUCAACCCAGAGACGCACCUGAUACUGCUGUGACUUGAGUACGGUAGGGGAGUGGGAAUUCCGUGGUGUAGCGGUGAAAUGCGCAGAUAUCAGGAGGAACACCGGUGGCGAAGGCGGCAUCCUGGACCGGUAUUGACGCUGAUGCGCGAAAGCGUGGGGAGCAAACAGG
rnacentral:rRNA from 1 species